UAAAAGUCAUACAAUAAUAUUUAAAUUCAUAAUCAUCAUCAGUAGAUUAAAAAGAUAAACUUUACCAACAUGUCAAGUAGGAAUCGGGUUGACACUUUUAGCGUUUAGGUUACUGAGAAGAUUAGUAGUGAUUUUCAACAAUCGGGUUUUUUAAAGAAUUGAUAAUAACACAUAUGAACAUAAGUGAUUCAAGCUAGGAAUCAAAGAAGGUCCUUACCUGGGUGACUGAGUUUCAAAGAGACAGAGAGAUUAUGGGAAGAAGAAGAGCGGUGAAGAAUGUUUUUAGGGUUUAGUAUAAGACGGGGAAAAUUUUCCAAACUUGCAAUUGAUGAUUGUGGCUCGUACAUCUGUCGCAAUAGAAGAGAGUUGAGAUGGAGAGAUGGACCAAAUGGGAGGUUUUCCCGAGCAAGAGGAAACUAGGUUAGGAUCCGGGUUUUAACCCGUUUAGGUUUGGGUGGACCGGAUAGAUUAGGUUGGAUCUAAUAAUAAACUCAUUUCAUUAACGGUUUUUUCGACUUUACACGCUUUAUGCAUUUAAAUUUAAUUCAAAAUAAAUUAUUAUAUAUUAUUUUUAAUAACAGGGAUAUAUGGGAAAUUUACGAGAGCCCUUGAGGCAUAUAUAUUGAGUUAAAGUCCUCCAUUUUUCUCCAUAAGAAUAAAAAUCUAUUUAUUUUUUUAUCUUUUAUGAUUCCAUACUCUUAUAUCUCUCCCUCCAUCUCCGCCGAAUCAAUCUCUUAACUUUCUCAUUUCCCUGUAAAAAGGAAGAGCCUUCCUUCUCCUCCUUCAAUUCCACCAUAAAACCCUAGAAUAAAGCUCCAUCCUUUAACUUCGUAAUGAAAAAAUCUCAUCUCUGUUUCCUCCUCUCCUCACUAAACUUCGCAGCUUCUCAGACCAGCGUCGACGCUCAACUAUGCAAGCCCUCAAAUCGAGCCUAAACCUCACUAAAGACGUAGACUGGUCCAACCCCAACCCUUGUAAAUGGCCAACCGUUCAAUGCGACGCAAGCAACAAAGUCACGAGAAUCCAACUCAAAACCAAAGGAAUCCGAGGAACCCUCCUUCAGAAACUCCAAACCCUCACGGAGCUGAUGGUCCCGAAGCUUUUCCAGAACCGAAUCUCCGGUCCGAUCCCCGAUCUCUCCGGUUUAACCCGGUUACAGACCCUAAACCUCCACGACAACCUCUUCGACUCUGUCCCCAAGAAGCUUACCUCGAGAACAACCCUUUCUCUCCAUGGGAGAUGACCAUGGACAUUUGCUACAAGUCUAGCUAAUUUUCUAUUUUUUUUAACUUAUGUCAGACAUGAAGUAAUGGGGGAAAAAGGCAAAAAAGGCAACGUUCAUUUCAGGAACAGAGGCUGCAAAGAAGUGUUUGAUUGUUUUCAAUCUUCAAUAGUUUUAGGAGUGUUCUAUUGUUUUUACCACCUUCGCUCGUCACCACCACUGUCGUCCGACACCACCACCACCACGACCACAAUAGCUCGACCUCUCUGCCUCUCUCUCUAUCUGUUUUGAACUCAUUUUGUCGUGAGCAGAGUUGGUGGUUGUGAGCAGAGGAUCAGUUCCUUGCCUCUCCUUGGUGUUGAUCAAUUCUAGAUAUAACCAGAUACUUAUAACUCUGGUUGCUACUUUUGUCAUUAAAUAUGUUAACUAUUUAUGUAGACUAGCAUUUAAACAUAAUUGUUAGGUCUUUUUUGUGUUGCUAAUAUAUGUACUCGAUGUCCAAUAUUUUAAGGUCAGAAAAAAAAAUAUUUUUUAAACUCUUAA